rnacentral:rRNA from 1 species
CACGCAGGUGGCCUGGUAAGUCAAAGGUGAAAGCCCUCGGCUCAACCGAGGAAUUGCCUUUGAAACUGCUUGGCUUGAGUCCGGGAGGGGGGAGCGGAAUUCCCAGUGUAGCGGUGAAAUGCGUAGAUACUGGGAGGAACACCGGUGGCGAAGGCGGCUCCCUGGACCGGUACUGACGCUGAGGUGCGAAAGCGUGGGUAGCAAACA